rnacentral:rRNA from 1 species
GACGAACGCUGGCGGCGUGCUUAACACAUGCAAGUCGAGCGAUGAAAGCCUUAUGAACUAUUCGUAGUGAUUGGGGCCGGAUUAGCGGCGGACGGGGGAGUAACGCGUGAGCAACCUGCCUUAAACAAAGGGAUAGCCUCGGGAAACCGGGCUUAAUACCGUAUGAGACCCCGCCUUCACAUGAAGAAGAGGUUAAAGAUUUAUCGGUUUAAGAUGGGCUCGCGUCUGAUUAGCUAGUUGGUGAGAUAAAAGCCCACCAAGGCAACGAUCAGUAACCGGCUCGAGAGAGUGAACGGUCACAUUGGAACUGAGACACGGUCCAAACUCCUACGGGAGGCAGCAGUGGGGAAUAUUGCACAAUGGGGGAAACCCUGAUGCAGCGACGCCGCGUGAGCGAUGAAGGAAUUCGUUUCGUAAAGCUCUGUCCAAGGGGAAGAUAAUGACAGUACCCUUGGAGGAAGCCCCGGCUAAAUACGUGCCAGCCGCCGCAGUAA